rnacentral:lncRNA from 1 species
AAGUGAAUGAACGGCACAAUAGGCGAAGAAGUAUUCCAGCCAUUUGGGAAGCUUGAAGCUUUUGUGGGCGAGAUUUCUAUGGAAAGAUAGAGUUACUCCCACACCGGUGACAAAGUAAAGGGCUACACCCAACCAAAACGCAGACCAGGUGAAGUAAAAUGGUGCGAGAAGAGCAAUGAGAUGAACAACAGAAAGGGUGAUGACACUAGCGAUGUCGACGCCAUUCCAUUGCCUGCCCAGAAAAUAUAUCGGCUUCUGCACCACCCAAGGUAGCCCUGCCAUCUUCUUUAAGCUAAGCUUAUAUUAUCAAAACUGCUUUGCUAGCUUCUCUCUUCUGUAGUUGUGUGUAGAAGUAUCACUGUUUGCACACACAUAUAUAUAUAUAUAUAUAUAUAUAUAUAUACACAUAUAUACUACUACUAUACUUACUUCUUCUACUCUACUACUCUCUCUCUCUCUCUCUCUCUCUCUCUCUCUCUCUCUCUCUCUCUCUCUCUCUCUCUCUCUAACUCAAACAAUUUGAAUACUUUUGUUUAGUCGAUCUCUCUCUCUCAUCUUAUCGAUAUGUCAUUUUCUUAUCAAAAUUGAUCUCGUUGCAAGAAACUAAUUCUUCUUAUAUGCUCAAUCUUCUCACUCCUCUCACAUAGUAGGUGAAUAUUCUAAUUCAAUUCAGUUCAAAGUCUACUAGUAUCAUGAGUUAAGUCUACCAGUAACAUGAGCAAACUGACAUUAAAAAAUAGACUUUCUGAAAAAUUAUUCUUCAUAAGAUGCAAAGUCUACUAGUAACAUGAGUUAAGUCUACCAGUAACAUGAGCUAACUAGCAUACAACAAUAGACUUUCUAGAAAAUUGUUCACUCCUAAUACUGGUCACUAGUCAUCAAUCACCUUAUUGACCACGUUGUCUAACUUGUUUUCUUUUAUGUCUGUGUUUUGCACUAUUCACGCAAUAGCAACAUACACGGCUUAAAACAGACAAAAUACACGCUCAUGGUAGCGUUUAGUGAAUUUUCAAACAUUGACUAUAUAUAUGCAGUUGAUCUGCUCAUAUUAUCCUAUAUUUCUAAGCCUCUUAUGUUUGAGAGUUGUGUUUAGUUCUCUUCUUUAUAAAUUAUUUACAUUAUUUUAUUGUUUUUGUAGGUUUGUGUCGUAGAGAGAAGAAAAUGAGCUAAAAUGCGCAAAUAAGGAUUGAAAGGCCACUGCAAUCCUAAGUCUCAGAAUCCGCCUAUGCAGAACAUCCAAACUUCUCCGAAUUACCGGGAAUUACUCAGAUCAAAUCAGACUAUGAGCCUUAUAUCAUUGGAAAGCUACAUAUGUCUACUUUUUGUAGAAGUUUACGGAUCUCAAUUUCGAUACUUCUAGACCGAGUUAUGAUAGUUUGAAUGAAGAUAGGUCAGAUCAGAAAAUCUGCUCGGAUUUGCAAGCAUUUGUGGAGAACUUAAGUUCCAUGGCACAAGAUCAUCAACUCUUAUGCUUCAAGGACAAUAAUGCAGAUGAAGAUUCAAGGAGUAAAUGUAUUCCUAGUUCUAUAAUAGAUAUCUCAAGGUUUUCUCAUUCCAUAUCAAUAAUGGAGUCUGAAUCCAAGUCUUACAAAGAAACUUGAAGCCAAAGAUGAGCAAGAAAUCUCCCCUAUAUAAAGAGCACGAAUUUCAUAGAGAAGGGGCUUCCGGGGACACAUGACAUAUUUGGAAGCUGCCAUCAUCACCAACCUUUCAUUCUUUUUCCCUUUUAGCCUUUUUAUGUUUUUCAUUGUUAUCAUCAUGUUUGUUAUGACUCUUAGUAGCUAAAUCUUUUGUUAGGGUCAUAAUGGAUUAUUAGCAUGACUAUUUGAUGUUUUCAGUUGGAUGAUUACUUAUUUAUUGGAUUGAGUUUUUAAUCUCUAUAAGAAUUGUUGCUUAUUUUAAAAUACUAGAGACUUGCGACCUUUAAGGUUUUGUUUUAAGCUAUCUGAUGCAAGAGUAGGUAGAUGCCCAUGCUGAAUCUUGAAUGCUUCUUGUGAUUAAAAACCAUAGAUUGAUAAGAUAGAUGCCAUGUUUUAUUGGUUUGUGCGAGUCUUUUUGUUGUCGUCGAACUUCAUUGACCCUUAGAGAUUAGAUGUCAUACUUCUAAGAAUAGUUGGAUAUUAUACUCUACCAUAAGGUAGUAUUCAUGUCUUGGAGAACUUAUGUGUAUAAGUACUCUGCCAUAAGACUUAUAUGACUGGUUUUUCAACACCGGUUUAGUAGUUAGUAAUCGGAAGACUAGGAACUCAAAUAUAUAUGAUUGUGACAGUGAAGUUAGAAGCCCUAGCAUUCAUCCAUCAUUGUUUUACAACUUUUCAAAACAUUUUCUCAAUUAUCUUGUGUGACAUUCUCAAUUUGCUUGAUUUACUCUUUUCUUAUUGUAUACAAAAAUCACAAAAAUAUCUUCUUGUUUUCUUGUUAGUCGUUAGAGUAAUUUGGUCAUUAGUUAGAGUUGAAAGUUAGUUAUCUAUCCCUAGUUGGAACGACCUCGUAUUUGCAUAUAAGCUAUACUACAAACGAUUCGUGCACUUGCGAAGUUUUUAAAAUUUGACAACAGCAGUGUUCUAAAACAAGGUUGCCUAGGCGGCUUUUAGACGUUUUAAGUCUGCGCUUCAUCCUGAAAGCGCCAGUGAAUUUUCAAACCUUACUUGUACCAGGUUUUAAAUUGUAUAGUUUGUCGAAUCACCAUUUUAAAAUAACUUAAAGCUGGCAAAAAAACUAGCUAGAUGUGUUGGAAACUUUAAAUUGAGUAUUCUCAUGCUCGAUCCAUAAUUUUUUAAACACUAGUAGUCAAAUUUCUUCUCAAUCCUCCGAUCUCCUUGAUUACACCUUGGACAAAGUUGGAUGACAUCUUUUACAUAGUAUCGACAUGGCUUGUACACCGCAAAUUGAAUAAUAUAUUUAUGUAUUUUUAAUACAUAAAAAAUAUACUAAAAUAUGAAAUAAGUUCAUUACAUUGCCAAAAUUAUGUUCUAAAUUCAAUCUUUUUUUUCUUCUUUUUUGUCUAAAUUCAACACAUUGCAUAAGCAUAUUAAAAUAACAUUAAAGAGAAUUAAAUGGAAGUUAUUAAAGAGAAUCAAAUGACUAGUUCCGAUAUAUGUUGUAAAAAAAUUAGACAUCAACUUAAUAACACAACAACCCUCUAACACCUAAUAGACAAGAAAAUUUCAAUCAUUCCAUAAUUCAUCUAAACAUCUCUUUAUAAACUGUUAUAAACAUGAACGGUUUGAGUUCGACAAAAUUAUGUUCAUCCAUUGGUUUAAUCGAAUUUGAGUGCCUUAAUGAUAACCAAAUUAGCUGAAAUUUUGCAGAGAUGAUUUAUACGAGAUGUGAAAAUUCGAUUAAAAAGUAAGUGUAAAGCGGAAAUCCGCACAGUAAGAAUAAAUAAAGACCUCCUUAACCAAGAAAGCCUAUAUAUAUAUUAAAAAUUGAUGACGUGAUGUGUCGGAGGUUGAGGUGGCGUGUUGGACACGUGUCGGGCCGUGUCGGAGGUGUGUCGCCGUGUCAGGCGUGUCGGACACUCCGACACUCCAGAGGUGUGAAGUGUUCGUGCAACAUAGCUUUUAACUAUGAUUUUCAUAUCUAAAGUUGUUCUAGGACUCUAGGAGGUUUUCUUUGUAAUUUAUAUGGUAUUUUUCUUAUAUAUUAACUGAAAAUAAUUAAUUUAAGGAAAAAAUAAUUUACUAGUAGAAUGUAACAAUAAAAUCAAUGUUAUACCAUCAUAUAUAUAUGAACCUAUCUUCUAGUGUCGGAUAAGGGAUCUAUGAACUCUCCAGUACGUAUGAGACUGGAAAAUUGGUCACAGCGAUCAUGGAGACUCUAAAACUGACACAAUGCCAAUAAAGAUGAUAGAAUAACGUCGGUAUACCAAACGGCUAAUGAGUGAAUACACGUGAUUAUUUAAGCAAAAUACAACAUUAUUAAUUAUCACCGCUGCAUUAUGAUUAACUUUCUACAGAGUACAUGAUGUUGAUGAGUUUCUAUUGGAUUCUUGUAUGAUUGAAGAGCGGAUUUCAGCUAGUCAUUCAUUUUUGACAACACCAAUCGAUACAAUUCUAGCAUAAUAACUUAACAUAUAGCUAGUUAUUGCGGACUGGGGCUAUCAGGCUUUGAGCAAUAAUAACGUACAUGUGGUUGCGUGCAUGCUCACAGUGUAAAUUAGGUGACUAUCUAUCACGAUAUUUAUUUUGGUUCUUGAUUUGGUAUGGUAUGUCUGAUGGGUCCGAAGGACACAGAAGAAUGAAGAUACGGAGGAGUGAUACAACCCUUAAGCAGCGGUAACUCUAGAUUACUGGUUACUAGGUAGCUGGAAUUGACUUGAAUGAGUUUGAUCAAGAAAAAAAAAAAAAAAAAAAAAAAAACAAUGCGAGCUUACUGAAUCCAUGAGAAAGAUAAACUCGAUCUUAUAUUGAUAAAAUCAUGUUGAACUUAUAUGGUUCAACACAGAAACAAAAGCAAUGUUGGAAUACAGAAAAUAGAUAUAUGUAGUACUCAUACACGCUUAGGUCUCCCUUGAAUCAUUUCACUUUGGUUUCGAACCUUCCCUCCUCCAUGCUACUGAUUUUGUUUGAUAAAGCUAUUCGGUUUUUCUGAAGCUCAGUCGGGAGUUUAACGUCAGUUGCCAAACAAACCAUUUCAAGAAACCUUAUCAAAUACCAAGUAAUAUCGAUUUGCCACCAUUCGAAACCAUGUCGAGCUGAGUACUCAAAAGCAUGGUGAUUAUUAUGCCAACCUUCUCCAUGAGCUAGCAAUCCAAACAACCUAAACCACACAAUUCAUAAUUAGAUUUCAUUACAUGUAGAGAAAUAGAAACUAUAUAUAUACACUUUGUAAUCAUAUCAAGUGCGUAUACCAGUUGUUUUUGGACAAACCAGUAUCCCAUACUUGGUUUCGCCAUAUGUGGCAGAUCGAAUUUAUCGAAAGUGUUAUAUGGAGAACAAAUUUUGUUCUCACAGCCUACAAAUAAUCAAAAGAAUUAAACAUAGUUACGGAUUUGUUAAUAGAAAGGACGAUGCAUUUAGAUAUUAGCAAAUGUAUAUAAGAGAAGUUUAAUUACCAGUGCCCAAACUUAAUUAGGUAUUCCUCCUAUGCGAUAGAACACAACUCCACAAGCAAUACAGUGAAAAGGGUAAGUGUAAUGAAGAAACCUAUAGAAGCUUUGUUUCUUCAAAUCUCCAACAUUGUAUAGUUUUCCAUCAUACUGCACAAUUUCAAAUUUAAUUAACAAUAAGUACGUGUUAAUUCAACAAAAAAAUUAUGCAUGUAAUUAAUCAAGUGAGGAGAACAUGAGAUUUCUACGUACACUCCCAAAACGUUUACGAAAAUCAAAAAUCCCGCCAAUAUGACUAAACCAGAAACCCUUAAGAGGAGUAUGAGGGUCACUCGGCGUGUCUGUAAACUGGUGAUGACUCCUGUGCGAGCUAACCCAUUCUAAUGGACUUCCCUGUAAUAUAAACACCAAAAACCAACUUACAAAACUUUGUAAAUGAAGAUUGUAGUAACUAAAAGUGAAAAAGAAUGAAAGCUAGAGAAUAUAUGAUGAACCUGAAGUNAAUGAACGGCACAAUAGGNNNNNNNNNNNNNNNNNNNNCUACUACUCUCUACUCUCUCUCUCUCUCUCUCUCUCUCUCUCUCUCUCUCUCUCUCUCUCUCUCUCUCUCUCUCUCUCUCUCUCUCUCUCUCUCUCUCUCUAACUCAAACAAUUUGAAUACCUUUGUCUCGUCGAUCUCUCUCUCUCUCUCUCAUCUCAUUGAUAUGUCAUUUUCUUAUCAAAAUUGAUCUCGUUGCAAGAAACUAAUUCCUUUUGUAUGCUCUGUCUUCUCACUCCUCUCACAUAGUAUGUGAAUAUUCUAAUUCAAUUAAGUUCAAAGUCUACUAAUAUAUGAGUUAAGUCUACCAGUAACAUGAGCAAACUGACAUACAAAAAUAGACUUUCUGGAAAAUUAUUCUUCAUAAGAUGCAAAGUCUAGCUACUAGUAACAUGAAUUAAGUCUACCAGUAACAUGAGCUAACUAGCAUACAAAAAUAGACUUUCUGAAAAAUUGUUCACUCCUAAUGCUGGUCACUAGUCAUUAGUCACCUUAUUGACUACGUUGUCUAACUUGUUUUCUUUUCUGUCUACGUUUUGCACUAUUCACUCAAUAGCAACAUACACGGCUUAAAACAGACGAAAUACACGCUCAUGGUAACGUUUAGUGAAUUUUCAAACAUUGACUAUAUGCAGUUGAUGUGCUCAUAUUAUCUUAUAUUUCUAAGCGUCUUAUGCUUGAGAUUUGUGUUUAGUUCUCUUCUUUAUGAAUUAUUUACGUUAUUUUAGUGUUCUUGUAGGUUUGUGUCGUAUGGAGAAGAAAAUGAGCUAAAAUGCGCAAAUAAGGAUUCAAAGGCCACUGCAAUCCUAAGUCUCAAAAUCUGCAUGUGCAGAACAUCCAAACUUCUCUGAAUUACCGGGAAUUACUCAGAUCAAAUCAGACUAUGUGCCUUAUAUUAUUGGAAAACUACAUAUGUCUACUUUCUGUAGAAGUUUACGGAUCUCAAUUUCGAUACUUCUAGACCGAGUUAUGAUAGUUUGAAUGAAGAUAGGUCAAAUCAGAAAAUGUGCUCGGAUUUGCAAGCAUUUGUGGAGAACUCAAGUUCCAUGGCACAAGAUCAUCAACUCUAAUGCUUCAAGGGACAAUAAUGCAGAUGAGGAUUCAAGGAGUAAAUGUAUUCUUAGUUCUACAAUAGAUAUCUCAAGGUUUUCUCAUUCCAUAUCAAGAAAGGAGUCUGAAUCCAAGUCUUACAAAGAAACUUGAAGCCAAAGAUGAGUAGGAAAUCUCCCCUAUAUAAAGAGCACGAAUUUCAUAGAGAAGGGGCUUCCGGAGACGUGACAUAUUUGGAAGCUGUCAUCAUCACCAACCUUUCAUUCUUUUUCCCUUUUAGUCUUUUUAUGUUUUUCAUUGUUAUCAUCGUGUUUGUUAUGACUCUUAGUAACUAAAUCUUUUGUUAGGGUCAUAAUGAAUCCUUAGCAUGACUAUUUGAUGUUUUUAGUUGGAUGAUUACUUAUUUAUUGGAUUGAUGUUGAGUUUUUAAUCUCUAUAAGAAUUGUUGCUUAUUUCAAAAUACUAGAGACUCGCGACCUUUAGGGUUUUGUUUUAAGCUAUAUGAUGCAAGAGUAGGUAGAUGCCCAUGCUGAAUCUUGAAUGCUUCUUGUGAUUAAAAACCAUAGAUUGAUAAGAUAGAUGCCAUGUUUUAUUGGUUUGUGUGAGUCCUUUUGUUCUCAUCGAACUUCAUUGACCCUUAGAGAUUAGAUGCCAUACUUCUAAGAAUUGUUGGAUACUAUACUCUGUUAUAAGAUAGUAUUUAUGCUUUGGAGAACUUAUGUUUAUAAGUACUCUGCCAUAAGACUUAUAUGACGAAUUUUUCAACACCGGUUUAGUAGUUAGUAAUCGGAAGACUAGGAACUCGAAUAAGAUUGUGACGGUGAAGUUAGAAGCCCUAGCAUUCAUCCAUCAUUGUUUUACAACUUUUCAAAACAUCUUCUCAAUUAUCUUGUGUGACAUUCUCAAUUUGCUUGUUUUACUCUUUUCUUAUUGUUUACAAAAAUCACAAAAAUAUCUUCUUGUUUUCUUGUUAGUCGUUAGAGUAAUUUGGUCAUUAGUUAGAGUUGAAAGUUAGUUAUCUAUCCCUAGUUGGAACGACCUCGUAUUUGCAUAUAAGCUAUACUACAAACGAUUCGUGCACUUGCGAAGUUUUUAAAAUUUGACAACAGCAGUGUUCUAAAACAAGGUUGCCUAGGCGGCUUUUAGACGUUUUAAGUAUGAGCUUCAUCCUGAAAGGACCAGUGAAUUUUCAAACCUUACUUGUACCAGGUUUUAAAUUGUAUAGUUUGUCGAUUCACCAUUUUAAAAUAACUUAAAGCUGGCAAAAAAACUAGCUAGAUGUGUUGGAAACUUUAAAUUGAGUAUUCUCAUGCUCGAUCCAUAAUUUUUAAACACUAGUAGUCGAAUUUCUUCUCAAUCCUCCGAUCUCCUUGAUUACACCUUGGACAAAGUUGGAUGACAUCUUUUACAUAGUAUCGACAUGGCUUGUACACCGCAAAUUGAAUAAUAUAUUUAUGUAUUUUUAAUACAUAAAAAAUAUACUAAAAUAUGAAAUAAGUUCAUUACAUUGCCAAAAUUAUGUUCUAAAUUCAAUUUUUUUUUUGUCUAAAUUCAACACAUUGCAUAAACAUAUUAAAAUAACAUUAAAGAGAAUUAAAUGGAAGUUAUUAAAGAGAAUCAAAUGACUAGUUCCGAUAUAGGUUGUAAAAAAAUUAGGCAUCAACUUAGUAACACAACAACCCUCUAACACGUACCUAAUAGACAAGAAAAUUUCAAUCAUUCCAUAAUUCAUCUAAACCUCUCUUUAUAAACUGUUAUAAACAUGAACGGUUCGAGUUCGACAAAAUUAUGUUCAUCCAUUGGUUUAAUCGAAUUUGAGUGUCUUAAUGAUAACCAAAUUAGCUGAAAUUUUACAAAGAUGAUCUAUACAUUAGUAUCUAAAUAUUAGACGGUGGAGAUGUGAAAAUUCGAUUGAAAAGUGAGUGUAAAGCGGAAAUCCGCACCGUAAAAAUAAAUAAAUACCUCCUUAGCCAAGAAAGCUUGUAUAUAUAUAUUAAAAAUUGAUGACGUGGCUUGUCAGAGGUUGAGAUGGCAUGUCGGUCAACGUGUCGGAAAAGUCAACAUUUUCCGACAUGUGUCAGAGGUGUGUCGUUGUGUCGGACACUCCGACAGUCCAGGGGUGUGAAGCGUCCGUGCAACAUAGCUUUUAACUAUGAUUUUCAUAUCUAAAGUUGUCCUACGACUCUAGGAGGUUCUCUUUGUAAUUUAUAUGGUAUUUUUCUUAUAUAUUAACUGAAAAUAAUUUAUUUAAAGAAAAAUUAUUUUACUAGUAGAAUGUAACAAUAAAAUCAAUGUUAUACCAUCAUAUAUAUAUAUAUAUAUAUGUGAACCUAGCUUCUAGUGUCGGAUAAGGGAGCUAUGAACUCUCCAGUACGUAUGAGACUGAAAAAUUGGUCAUAGCGAUCAUGGAGACUCUAAAACCGACACAAUGCCAAUAAAGAUGGUAGAAUAACGCCGGUAUACCAAACGGCUAAUGGCUACAAACCCGCGAAGGAUGUACAUGCAUGUGCACAAAUAUUCAACUCCCCCUCUUGAUGAGUGAAUACACGUGAUUAUUUAAGUAAAAUAAGACAUUAUUAAUUAUCACCGGUGCAUUAUGAUUAACUUUCUACAGAGUACAUGAUGUUGAUGAGUUUCUAUUGGAUUCUUGUAUCAUUGAAGUGCGGAGUUCAGCUAGUCAUUCAUUUUUGACAACACAAAUCGAUACAUUUCUAGCAUAAGAAACUUAAUAUAUAGCUAGUUAUUGCGGACUGGGGCUAUCAGGCUUUGAGCAAUAAUAACGUACAUGUGGUUGCGUGCAUGGUCACAGAGUAAAUUAGGUGACUAUCUACCACGAUAUUUAUUUUGGUUCUUGAUUUGGUAUGGUAUGUCUGAUGGGUCCGAAGGACACAGAAGAAUGAAGAUACGGAGGAGUGAUACAACCCUUAAGCAGCGGUAACUCUAGAUUACUUAGAAGAUGACUGGUUACUAGGUAGCUGGAAUUGACUUGAAUGAGUUUGAUCAGAAAANNNNNNNNNNNNNNNNNNNNGAGAAAGAUAAACUCGAUCUUAUAUUGAUAAAAAAUCAUGUUGAACUUAUUUCACUUUGGUUCAACACAGAAACAAAAGCAAUGUUGUAAUACAGGAAAUAGAUAUAUGUAGUACUCGUACACGCUUAGGUCUCCCUUGAAUCAUUUGACUUUGGUUUCGAACCUUCCCUCCUGCUCCAUGCUACUGACUUUGUUUGAUAAAGCUUUUCGGUUUUUCUGAAGCUCAGUCGGGAGCUUAACGUCAGUUGCCAAACCAACCAUUUCAAGAAACCUUAUCAAAUACCAAGUAAUAUCGAUUUGCCACCAUUCGAAACCUUGUCGAGCUGAGUACUCAAAAGCAUGGUGAUUAUUAUGCCAACCUUCUCCAUGAGCUAGCAAUCCAAACAACCUAAACCACACAAUUCAUAAUUAGAUUUCAUUACAUGUAGAGAAAUAGAAACUAUAUAUAUACUUUGUAAUCAUAUCAAGUGCGUAUACCAGUUGUUUUUGGACAAAUCACCAGUAUCCCAUACUUGGUUUCCCCAUAUGUGGCAGAUCGAAUUUAUCGAAAAUGUUACAUGGAGAAGAAAUAUUGUUCUCACCGCCUACAAAUAAUCAAAAGAAUUAAACAUAGUUACGGAUUUGUUACAUAGAAAGGACGAUGCAUUUAGAUAUUAGCAAAUGUAUAUAAGAGAAGUUUAAUUACCAGUGCCCAAACUAAAUAAGGCAUUCCUCCUAUGCGAUAGAGCACAACUCCACAAGCAAUACAGUGAUAAGGGUAAGUGUAAUGAAGAAACUUAUAGAAGCUUUGUUUCUUCAAAUCUCCAACAUUGUAUAGUUUUCCAUCAUACUGCACAAUUUCAAAUUUAAUUAACAAUAAGUACGUGUUAAUUUAAUAUAAAAAAAAGUAGUGCUAAAGGGCCUUAAUAAAACCAAAUAUUUGUGGCCUUAAUCCUAUGUGUCAUGCAUAGUAAGUAAAUAAAAUACUUAUUUCCUAUUCCACGUACAUAAUAUUUCUUGCCAAAUCAUAAGAUUGCAUUACCAAUUUUACCAUUUCCAUUUUCUUUUAGAUCUUAAGAAGAAGGUAAAUCAAUGAUAUUAAUGAAGUUUUAUUAAAUAAUGGAAACAAAUAUUGCAUAUUAAUAACAACCUUUAAUUAUGUAUAAAUCUAAGGAAUGUUUCUUAUAUAUUGAAUUAACAUGUUUUUCAAUUUUAAUUAUUUUUAUCAAAUAAACUCUAAACUCUAACCCUAGUUCGUCCAAAAACUAAAUUCAGAUUAUAAUUAUUCAAAAUUAUCUAUAAUUCGUCCAACAAAAAAAUUUAUAUACAAAUAAUUCCUCUAAAUGAUUUACAUACAGAUUAUUGUUUUAAUUCGUCCAACAAAAUUAUAUAAUAUACUCUUUGUAAAUAUUAUAAUAUAAAGUUAGGGGGAAAUUUUGAUUUUUUAUAUUUCUAUUUAAUUACAUAUUUAGAAAAAGAAAGCUAAAAUAGUUUUUUUUUAAUGGAAAACUAAAAAUUUAGAUCUAUUGUUCGGAAUGGUAAGAUGGUCUUUUUACUUAAGUAUUAUAUGACAUAAGAUUUUAAAUAUGUUAUGUGUCUAAAUAUUUGGUAUGCCAUAUAGGUUUAAAGCCUAAAAUCAUUUUCCCAAAAAAAUUAUGCAUGUAGUAAUUAAUCAAGUGAGGAGAACAUGAGAUUUCUACGUACACUCCCAAAACGUUUACGAAAAUCAAAAAUCCAGCCAAUAUGACUAAACCAGAAACCCUUAAGAGGAGUAUGAGGGUCACUCGGCGUGUCUGUAAACUGGUGAUGACUCCUGUGCGAGCUAACCCAUUCUAAUGGACUUCCCUGUAAUAUAAACACCAAAAACCAACUUCAAAACUUUAUAAUGAAGAUUGUAGUAACUAAAAGUGAAAAGAAUGAAAGCUAGAGAAUAUAUGAUGAACCUGAAGUGAAUGAACGGCACAAUAGGCGAAGAAGUAUUCCAGCCAUUUGGGAAGCUUGAAGCUUUUGUGGGCGAGAUUUCUAUGGAAAGAUAGAGUUACUCCCACACCGGUGACAUAGUAGAGUGCUACACCCAACCAAAACGCAGACCAGGUGAAGUAAAAUGGCGCCAGAAGAGCAAUGAGAUGAACAACAGAGAGGGUGAUGACACUAGCGAUGUCGACGCCAUUCCAUUGCCUCCCCAGAAAAUAUACCGGCUUCUGCACCACCCAAAGCAGCCUUGCCAUUUUCUUCAAGCUAAGCUUAUAUUAUCUGCUUUGCU